rnacentral:rRNA from 1 species
GACGAACGCUGGCGGCGUGCUUAACACAUGCAAGUCGAACGAAGAGCGAUGGAAGCUUGCUUCUAUCAAUCUUAGUGGCGCACGGGUGAGUAACGCGUAAUCAACCUGCCCUUCAGAGGGGGACAACAGUUGGAAACGACUGCUAAUACCGCAUACGAUCUAAUCUCGGCAUCGAGGAUAGAUGAAAGGUGGCCUCUACAUGUAAGCUAUCACUGAAGGAGGGGAUUGCGUCUGAUUAGCUAGUUGGAGGGGUAAAGGCCCACCAAGGCGAAGAUCAGUAGCCGGUCUGGGAGGAUGAACGGCCAAAUUGGGAAUGGGACACGGCCCAGACUCCUACGGGAGGCAGCAGUGGGGAAACUUCCGCAAUGGACGGAAGGCUGACGGAGCAACGCCGCGGGAGCGAUGACGGCCUUCGGGUUGUAAAGCUCUGUUAAUCGGGACGAAAGGCCUUCUUGCGAAUAGUGAGAAGGAUUGACGGUACCGGAAGAGAAAGCCACGGCUAACUACGUG